GUGCCUGUAGCACAAUGGACAACGCGUUGGACUUUUAAUUUAAAGAUCAUGGGUUUGAAUCCCACCAGGCAUG